rnacentral:rRNA from 1 species
ACUCCUACGGGAGGCAGCAGUGGGGAAUAUUGCACAAUGGGAAGGCCAUCGAUGCAGCGACGCAGCGUGCGGGAUGACGGCCUUCGGGUUGUAAACCGCUUUCAGCAGGGAAGAAGCGCAAGUGACGGUACCUGCAGAAGAAGUACCGGCUAACUACGUGCCAGCAGCCGCGGUAAUACGUAGGGUACGAGCGUUGUCCGGAAUUAUUGGGCGUAAGAGCUCGUAGGUGGUUGGUCACGUCUGCUGUGGAAACGCAACGCUUAACGUUGCGCGUGCAGUGGGUACGGGCUGACUAGAGUGCAGUAGGGGAGUCUGGAAUUCCUGGUGUAGCGGUGAAAUGCGCAGAUAUCAGGAGGAACACCGGUGGCGAAGGCGGGACUCUGGGCUGUAACUGACACUGAGGAGCGAAAGCAUGGGG